rnacentral:lncRNA from 1 species
UUCAUUUCAAGGUAACUGUAGCUGAACUUGUGUUGUGUUGAUACUGAACUUGUGUUUUGGCUGAUUCUAAACUGAUGUGUAUCCAACAUUGGUGUUUAAACAAUUCUUGGUCCAUUGACUGUCUGAACUUGCAACCUUAUUGCCUUCAACUAUGGUCUAAAAAAACUGAACUCAUGCAGGUACUUGGUGGUGCAGACUUGGUAGCGGUGAUAUUUUGGUUCACUUUAGAGUUUGCAAAUGAAGAUUUCAAACAGCAAUCUCUAAAUAUUUUCUUGAUCACUAAACAAGACCAAUUUUAGCAUGUUUCCUGAAAUAUUUUAGCAUGUUUUAUGUUUCCAUUUACAAGUUCACACACUACUAUCUCGGGCGUUCAAACAUUUGUUUCCCUGAUGUUCAGAUAUUAUCAUCUAGGAGGAAUACAUGUUGUAACUUCGGGAGAAAAUGUUCAUGUUGAUUACUCCUAUCAAGUGUAAAAUUUCGCCAAUAUACAAUCUAUAAGUUCAAUAUCGAGUACAUUGGUUUAGUAGUUGGUACUAACUACUCCAGUUUUUUUCUUGAUGUACCUGUGGUGUCUAGUUUUUUUUUCAGUUCAAUUUCUAAAUUUCAGCCAGUUCAGUUCGUAUUGUAGCUCCACUUUAGUCCACGUGGUCAAUUGUUGGCUGGUAUGUAUGCAGGGUACCGUGACAUUGAGUAGGCGCGAAGUAUAUCACUCUAGCAUGCCAUGCUCCAGUGCAUGUCAACGUCUUCUCCACUGCAAUGGAAGCUGCAGAUUUUGCUCUGCUCUACUUGCCUUGCUAGUGUUCACUUUAAUGCCUCAAAGGUGCAUUGUGCAUCUUUUGCACUCUAAAGAAAGAGCUUGAUUAGUCUGUUUCUACUAUUAGUUCAUGCAAACCUGGUUAUAUGAUGUCUUUUUUUUCAUUGUUACUCGAUGUCUCAUUUUCUUGUUUUCUGUUAUAUUUUUCUAGGGAAGGUUCUUGUAAUUAUUAGUUCUUUGAUUGUAUGAUGCAACCGCUUACUCGAUGUCGUUGUCAUUGUUCUUCUAGUUGCAUAUAUGGAAGUGUGUGCUUGGUUUGGUUCCAUUUAUCUUUCUCUCAUGCCUGCCCUUUUGAUCUUAUAGGAAUUGAGGCUUCGCCAAGGAACAAGACUGGUAACUAGCGCAAAGGAGACCAUGUCGAGAGGUGGCACUACUAGACUUUCUGAUGUGUAGUUAUGGCAUAAAAAGACGAAAAAAUGGUGUCCAUAAGGUGUACGUAGCAAAUCUUCCCAUGUGGAUCAGUACAACUUAUGUAUGGCCUUGAGUUCACAAAUCUUAUAGUAAUCUUUGUAGCUCUUCGUAAAACUUCGUAAAGCAAGAUUGGCCCUUUUUUGUGAACAACAAUUCAAACAGAAAUCUGUUGUAUCAGUUCUUGUGAUAGAUAGAAGAAAGUUCACUAGCCAAAAGGUUAAAGAAGUCUACCUAAUAAUUUGCAAAUAUUAAAGAUAAUGAUCAGUUUGAAUUAAAAACGGUUUGCAUUAAAAACAAAUGAUCGGAUCAAAUUAAAAACAACGAUCAGUUUGAAUAAAAAAAUCUAAAUUAAAAACAAUGAUCAAUUUGGAUUAAAAAUAAAUAAAUGAUCAGUUCAAACAAGAAACAAUUAUCAAUUUGAAUUAAAAAUAAGAAAGAAAAAAACGUUUCCAAAAAAUAAAAAUGCGGAAGUGUGAAGUGCAAAUAAUGACAUGUCCAAUGUUUCAGCAACGACUGAAUGCAAAAAAUCCAGGAAAUUCAAAAACCCCACAAAAACUCAUAUGUAAAAGUUCAAGUCGCAAAGCGAGAGAAGUACAAAGCACAGUUGCAAAAAAAGAGUUAAAAAAUAAACACACAAAAUAUUUUCUUUUUGAAAAAAUAUCAUUCAGUUCAACGAUAUAAACCAUACAAGUUCAAGGACGAUGAUAACAUAAGCCGUUGAAAAGUAUGAGGAUAACCAUACUGAAAAAACAUAAUAAAGUCCAAUCUAUGAAAAUAGCUCAGUACACACACACAUAGAUCAAUACAAACUAUCUAGUACCGUAAGUGCCAUAAAUUAAAAAUUAAAAAUUAAAAAUUGCAUCAGAUCUGACUCAAGGGACAAUAAAUUUGCAAAAAGAAAAUUGUAGCAGUAAAACUUUGGAGGGAAAAAAAAUUCAUAAAUGGAAAAAACUGUACAAAAGUCGUAUGUUCAAACAUGACGUCUCAGAUAAGUUUGGGAAAAAGCUCAAACAAAAUAAAAACCCACGAAAAUUCAAAUGGUAAAAGUUCAAGUCGCAAAAUGCGAGAAGUCCAAAACAUCGUUGUAAAAAAAUUGAGUUGAAAAAAAGAAACACACAAAAUAUUUUCUUUUAAAAAAAUAUCAUUCAGUUCAAUGAUAUAAAACAUGCAAGUUCGAGGACUAUGAUACCGUAAAUCAUUGAAAAGUUACGAGGAAAAGCCAUACCAAAAAAAAAGAGUAAAGUCUAGUCUGCGAAAACACACUCAGUACAAACCCAUACACGGACAUCAGUUCAAGUACUUUUUUUCGGAACCAUUCAAAAUUACUCUGUAAAAAAAAUCUCCUCAGUACAAACACACACAGAGAUCAGUACGAGUACUCUGUUUUUUCUGACGGGAAAACAACAUGAAGGGUCUCACCAUAUUUCAAAUUAGUCUUCAUCAGUUGCGAAUUGAAGAAAACGUUCAAAAAUGACUAAGAUUCACAUUUUCAAUAGCUUUGCGUAGACGUUAAACUAAAAUCUUUGGCCUCUUUGAAAGUUUUGCAUUUGACAAUUCUUUAUGAAAUUUUGUUACACACCUACUGUGAAAGUUUCCCAGAAUACGAGCUGCCAUUUUAUAGCUCGUAUGGUGCUCAGUCUCAUGUCAAAAUAUGGUACUAAGUAACUAUCGUUAGCACUAGAUCAAAUACUACUAUAGUAGCUCCACCAGCAACAACAUAGUGCAGGAUAAUUAAUUAGCCACGUAAUCUCCUCAGCUCCACCGGCGACUGAGGUAUAUGAGUAUAUCUAUGAAUGAAAUGCGCCUAUGGCUUACAUUGCUUUGCAUAAAGUCAGAGCUUGAACCUAAAAAAUUCUCACUAUACGCUCCUAGUCAACUUUGGAUGAGUCCAGGUCCAGCUCCAUACAGAGCGCUUUGAAAAGGAUCCGCCUGUGGAGUAGUAGGCCUGCCUGCCAAUCCUCCCUUCCAGAUCAAUAUUCAUCGCUGCCAUCAUGGCUGAAUAAAUCAAAGAAUGUUCAAACUAGGAGCCACAGUUCAUUCGAUCCAAAGUCUCUAGUGUCGGAUCAGAUCCCAUCGAUCGCCCGCACUGUGUUGAAAGCAAGAAAUCCUUCCCUGGCCAGUCAAAGCUUGUUGGAUUCGAUUGAUUCGACAAGUCACGACAAAAAGAUAGGGCGAUUCGAUUCGUUUCGUUUCAAGGUGCAAACACAAAGCAGCGGAGCCUGUCGCCGGCCCGACCGCCCCCUCCCACUCUGGCAGGACCCGCCACCGCCCUCUGCCUUUCCCUUCCCAAGAUGGUAAGGCAAACGAAAUCAGUUGAGUGGUCACUCAAUCCUUUCGACUUGCAUGUGGUAGCUGCUUCGUCCGUGCUGCUGGCGCUGAGGCGGACGCCGGUGUCGCGAGUGGCCGCCGUCUUCUCCGGCCAGCUCCGCGCAUGCCCUCGGGGCGAGCUGCGCCCUCUACGGCCGGAGCUCGCCGCUGCCCUCCUCGCCCCGGCGCCGCUCGCUGCAGGCCGCCUCUGCUCCAGCCUCGCGCAUGUACGCACACACGCCACACUUCUCUCCACCAUACAAGCUCCAGCAGCGCCGUCGCCGUCGCCUGCGCCCCGACGGCCAUCGCCGCGCCUAGGGUAGGGCAUGGGUUGCCGGGAGGGCUCGGCCAGAAGCAACUCGGUCGACAGCUGAGUGGCCGGCUGAACGGGGAGAGAGCAGGAGGGGGCUCUUAUUUGCACUUUUAAUACAACACGAUCAGUUCAACGAAAUGAUAGAAUCAGUACAACUGAUCGAAUUCAUCAGUUCAAAAAGGGUAACAGAAUAAUAUUCUGUUACGCGUAACAGAAUAACCUAGAUGUGUGUGUGUGUGUGUCUAUAUAUAUAUAUAUAUAUAUAUAUAUAUAUAUAUAUAUAUAUGAGUUUGUGUCGCAAUUCUUCAAGUUGUUUUUUUUGCUAAGUGAAUGUGAUCGGACCCUUAUCCCCCUCUAUGCUAAACUCAACCCAGUCUAUUCACAAAUUCUUCAUGUGCGUUCUAUUUGAAACUCAUUCAAAUUCUUUGUUGUGUCCUUGUCAUCUGAAGAAAUUGCGAACGACACUUUAAAAUAUUCUUAUCUAAAUUUUCGGCUUUUGCCGCUCAAACCGUUACGCAUUCCACGAUAUACUUAUCUAUUCACUCAUGAUCUCACACGAUCUCCACCUCUCAGUACGCGGGUGACACAUGUCACGCGAAUGAGAAGGGUCAAGGGAACAUUCGUCCAAUUUCCUCGGGCGAACGAUUUUUCACCUCAGCUAUAAAUACCCCCUCCCCUCCUCACUUCGUUUUUACUCCGCUCGACCUCACUCCCUCGCUCGAGCUUCUCAAAACCUAGCGCCGCCACUACCUCCAUCGUCGCCGGUGAGGAAGAGCUUCACUGCCUCGACCUCGUCAUCGUCAUACUCAUGCCGGCCGCGGAAAUCUUCCUUCCGCCGCCGCCGUAGACAUCUUCCUCCGCCAAGUUAGGGCGUGGAAGAUCCGAGCCGACAAACUUAUAAAUCUACACCUCUUGUUCGUCGUGUUCUUCACGAAGGGUAAUUAAAAGUUACUUCUACCGUAUUUAUUCUACUAAUGAUUUUCACCAGACCUUCAAAAGGUGUUUAUUCUUCAACCUCCACACUCUAAACACCUAGCAAAAAUCUUCAGUUCUUGAUCUGUUUCUCUAAGUGACGUUUUUCUUCAUUAUUCCUCAAUUGUGUGAAUCUCACGAUCCGCACAACUCUGGAACCUAAGUCAAAGAACGCUUAGUGAAAUUCUUCAAGACACAUCGGGUUAAUUUCCUCAAACUUGUUCAGUUUUGCAAAAUCUUCUGAGAACGCAUAUGACCUCUCCAAAUUCUUCGCACCUAUACUCUGUUCACAGGUACACAUUUUUGCUGCUGGAUCACUAGGUUCUCAUCAACUUAACUCAUUUGCAGCGUUCCUUGAAGAAAAGUUGCAUACUUCUUCAGAGAACUCAAUUGUGCAAAUUCCUCAGCUGAAGAAAAUGGCAGAUGGUAAAAGGCCUCAGAAAGGAGGAAAGAAGCUUGAAGUCAAUACUGCCUUUGAGAUCCCUGAUGACAUCUAUGCAGGGUACUGCAUGCCUGAUGAGGCAACUCAUGGAAAGGAAACGAAGAAUGACCGCAAGGUGCGCAUACAGAGGAUUGAAAGAAGAUGGGCAAGAGAAUGGAGGGAGUAUAGAUGUGUCACUCCCAAAUACAUGAAGAAAUUCGCUCUUAACCCUCCAUGCUCAAGACCUCCUCUGGCACCUGGCCAAAGAGCUGAUCCAACAAGCCUUAAACGUGGUGAGGAUUAUGCGGAUGAAUGGGCCAAGCGGCAAGCUAAGUUGGCCAAACAUGCCAAAGAAGCAGUGAAGAAAUUUAAUGAGGAUUCUCCUGCUGCCGCUGCUGCUCCUAAGGCUUCUUCAAGCAAGAAGGCUGUGCCAAAGAAGCCAGCCAUGAAACCAACUUCCUCAGCAAUGCCAUCACGGCCAAGUUCUUCUUCAAUGCUCUCACGGCCAAUCUCCUCAGUGCCACCAAGGCAAAUUCCUCAAGCUACACCAGUUCCUCAAGCUGCUCAAAUUCCUUGGGCUUCAAAACCCUCAGCUCCUCCGACAAAGUCCUCAACACCUGUGCACCUCGCCACAUGCCAAAGGACCACUGGCAUAUGAAUUGCCUCAGGAGCUUCAAAAAUUUCUUCAGCUCACCCUUCAUCAACCGGUCCCACACUAUUGAAGACUAGGGCCACUGCUGGACGAGGCACUAGACCAAGUCCUCACAAGAAGCAGGUGGUCUUUCAAACUCCAUCUGAUGAUGAGCCUGAUGGUGAUGAAUUAGCUGAUAUCAUUAAGGACAGACAGUAGCGGGCCGCUAGAGCCGAAGGGAGUGAUGUGCCCCUUCUACUGGAUCCGAAGAAGAUCCUGGAUUUCAUCGAUCUCUGGCACAAAGAUCCCAAUGCUCCAAUGCCAGAGUUGGGCCUCAAUCCUAGACAAAGUCACAUGGUGACGGCCUUCAUAGCUGAAGAGAAAUGGAAAUAUGAUCAAGCCAGAGUGACUAAGAAAGCGCAGUACAAGAAGCAGCGCUACCUAAAGGACAAUGUCCUCAGCCUAUCGCCUGAACAACUCCUCGCUCUGCAAGCUGAUAUCAAAUAGCUCAACGAUGAAUUUGACGCCUACAAAGCAGAAUGGCAGGGUGCCAAAGUCAGAUUCGUCAAGCCGACGAAGAAAAUCACUUCAAGUGAUGCUGUUCCUGUGCACAUUGAAGUCAUUCCAGCUGAAGCAUCUGCACAAGCCACAGAGGGAAAUGCCAGCACCGCUAAUGAAAAUCAGGCUGCUGAUGAAACUGCAAGUACCAGGGCUGCUAAAGAAAUUCCAUCCUCUGAAGAAACUGCCAGGGCAACCACUAGUGUUGCACCUGAAGAAUCUGCCAGGCCAGCUGAAGACUCUGUUGCUGCGCCUGAAGAAAUUGCUCAAGACAGGCUAACUGCAUCAGUUGUGCCUGAAGAAACUGAUCCUACUCCCAUGGCUCCGCCUGCACCAACACCAAGCCCAAUUCUUCCUUCUGCUCUGGAAGUGAAGAAAACCAAAGCAGCGGAGCGAGCUGCUUUGAAGAAGAGGAAAGCAUCAGCUACCUUAGAAUAUUCGGCCCCCAAGAAGGCGAAGAUUUUGACAAGUUCAAUUGACAAUCCCAUUGAUGAUGUCCCUCUUGCAAGCAUGCCAUCAAAGCAACUUGUUCCUUAUGGUAAAGAAUAUCAGAUUCCUGAAGAAUCUGCUGAAGAAGAUCCCUCUGAUGCUUCCAUAGAGCAGAUGGAUGAAGAAAUUGAAGUUGGGACUUUCACUUCAACUCCUCAAGUAUCAUCGCCAACACCUCAGUUUACUGCUGAAGAGGCCGGCGUUGAAGAAAUGUAAGUGGAUGAGGAUGUGGACAUUGGAUGGACCACUCCAGUGAUGAACGAUGCUUUUUGGGAUAGUCAACACCCCAACACUCCUAUGUUCACACCACUACAGCAAAUUCCUCAGUCCCCAGCACCAACAGAAGUUCAGAUGGGCUCUGAAGAAAUACACACUACCCCUUCCAUUCAUGAAGAAAUUCCAGCCACUAGUGCUGAUGAAAAUGCUGCUGAAGAAAUGGAGGCCCAGGCUGCAAAUGAAGCAGAAACUGAAAUUCCUCAGCCUGCGGCUCUAGAAAUUGACAUACCAGAGGAUAUUCUUCAGAUCAUUGACACUCCUCACCCACAAUAGAAGAAUCCGUUCUCCAAAACUCCAAAGUUCAAGGCUGAUGCCUUCUUCAAUGAGCAUGUAUUCUUCACCGAUUACAAUCCCUAUGAUUCUGCUCGUCUGAGGAGGAAGCGCUUCUGGACAGCCAGUCAAGCAAAUUUCUAUUCUUUAGUGCUAUUCAACAAGGAUAAAGUCUUCGACCAUGAGCAUAUUCCUCACUUGGAUAUAGAAUCACUGCCUUGCUUCACGCCAGUCCUUGAUGCCAUUCAUGAUGCUGGCCUGCUCAAUUUCUGCACUGACAUAUGAGAUUGGAAUGAAGAACUUAUUCUUCAAUUCUAUGCGACGCUGCACAUCACCGGCAAUGUUGAAGAUGUGAACUCAUGGGUGUUGGACUGGAUGACGAAGAACACACACUAUAAGGCACCAGCCACUGAAUUGCUUCGUGCCAUGCCAGUCAGUCCUUCCCCAGAAGGUGCACGUCUCAUCUACUCUGAAACUGAGCUGUCAGAUCACUUCAUGCAAGUGUUAAUGAAGUCGUUGAAGCCUGGCCAAGCCUCAAGGACAAAAUUCCUUGUGAAGGAAUUGCAAUAUGUCCCAAGGACUGUCUAGCGCAUCCUAACAAAGACAUUGAGUCCAAUCAAAGGCCACGAUUCUAAUGAUGAAGAAGUCGUUGGCAUCAUGAAGAGUCUGCUUUUCAAUAUUGUACAUGGUAUUCCCGUGAACUACCAUGAUUUCUUCAUGAGGACUUUGGCAAACGUUGCAAUGUCCCCGUUUGAGUUGAAGCCUUAUGCUCCUUGGAUUAUGGGAUUCAUUAGAUCAAGGUCUUCACUCAAUUAAAAAGAUGAUACACUCAACCAUGGCAGCUACUUUCCCCCAAUUGAAGUCCUCAAGCGGACAUUUUCCUCAGCUGAUGAAAAGGGCAAGACCACUGCUAUUAUUGUUGAGGGUAUUCGACCAUUGGAUGGACAGUUUCGCAAAGCUGCUUCAUAUUCCACCAAUGAUGACUCUGCUACUCAUGAUUCUGACGCUAAUGCAUCAAAGCAAAGUCCUCAGGCAACAGCUCCAAGGGUGAUGACUGAUCGUGAGCUUCUCCUCAGUCUUCAUCAAAAGGUGGAUCGCAAUCAUAAAUGGGUAAAGCACCAGUUUGGUUCUAUUCUUCACAACAUGACUGCCACAUAUAAUUCAGUGAAGAAGAACCAUUACUACCUCAAUGAAGUUUUUGAUCGCACCUGGGCUAUUCUAUCUCAUCUCUAUGGUGAUGAGGAUCUCAAGCAGCUGAGCUUCAAGCAGGACUUCGGCUAGUCUAAGCCUCCUCCGAAGAAAUUUAAGAAGGUUGAAGUUCCUCCUCUGGUGCCCAGUUCAUAUUCCUCAUCCUGCGAUACUGAUGAAAAUGAAGAUCUGGACGACACUGCGGCAGGCACGGCUACAACAAAUGACCCCAACAACGCUGACGCUCCUCCAUCGACUUCGUGAUGAAAUUCUUCAGGGGUGUUAGUCCUCACUUUUCGUCCCUUUUGGUCCUUUGAUGACAAAGGGGGAGAAAUUUGAGUUAGUCUUCAAGAGGAUAUACAUAUAUAUAUAUAUAUAUAUAUAUAUAUAUAUAUGGGCAUUUUUUGUUAAGUUGCAACUCUCGCUCUUCUGAAGCUUUUGUUGAUUGAGUUGUAAACUUAAGUCCGAUGGUGACCUGAUACUUAUUCUCUGUUUUUUUCUGCAUGCUAUUUCCUCAUUAAUGUUAUGCACGCAUACUGAAUUACAUCAGUCACCAUAUUUCAUCAUGCAUUUCAAAUUCUUCAUUUCAUAUGUUAAAUGCGUGUGUGAAUUACAAGAUAUAGGGGGAGUUCACCAUGAUUCUACUCUUCAAAUGUACAUUGCUUCAAAAGCAAAUUCCUCAUUAUGCACAUCCACAGGGGGAGUUCUUCUAUAUCUUGCAAUCAAAUUCCUCAAUAUUGAGUACUUUCAAUUCAUAUGUUUAUCCCUGUUGGAAACUUAACCUAUAUUGUCAUCAAUCACCAAAAAGGGGGAGAUUGUAAGUGCAUCUAGUGCCCCUUAGUGAUUUUGGUGUACUGAAUACUUAUAGGUUAAGGGACUAAUAUGUUUGUGAGCGUACACAGGCUCUAUAAGUCAAUGAGGAGUUUGAUAUUUACAGUGAAGGUCGACCCCUAAAAAUGAAUGUCUUCGGCUGAAGACUUUGGUUCUCCUGAAGACUGUGAAAGUGAAGAAAUUGGUGUGACCUUGAAGACUUCGAUAUUCAUGCGAGGAAUCUAAAGCGUGAAGACUUUUGUUUUCGUAGUUUCUUUUUCUCUUUAUUUGAGUCAUAGGAAACACUGUACUAUUAAAGGGGGUCGAGGUAAUAAUAAGGAAACUGAUUUCCAAGUGAUGCUCAUCUCAAAAUCCUACACCUACCCAAUCCUUCAAGUGAAGCCAUUGGAAAUCUCAUAUCAGUUCAGUCAAUUUCUUUAGUGACAGAGAUGAAGAUCUUCUGGUCUCUGAGGAAUUUGUUCUGACUGAGGAGUUAGGAAUUCGCCAGUGCGAAUUGCCUACACAGUGAGGAACAUGAUAGCCCUAAGGAAUUCUAACCUAAAAUCCGACCGUUGCUGUGCCACGCGCCAGCUGUCCAAAAUAUCCUACCACCUAAUGGUCAUAUCAGACAAGGGCAUUUAUGUCUUAUCAUGUUGGGCUGCUCCCUAGGCUAUAAAUAGCCGCCCCCUACAACCACUAGCUAGUUGGCUGCUCCGAGAGAAACUGCCACUUGUCAUUUGAGAGCAUCCCAUCCUCCGAGGACUUUGAGCGAAAAUCAUUAAGUGAGGAAAACCCAAAUCCCAAACCCAAACCUACAAACCCCAAAGUGAUUGAGCAUCACUGAAGAGAUUGUUCCUGUGUGGAACCAACGCUUGUUACCUUUGAGGACUGUGUAUCCUCCAGACGAUUAGGCGUCAUGGUCUGAGCAUGCAAGAGGAAUUGUGGAUUGCCGAGUGACCAAGUCUGUGAAGGUUUGGAAGUCACCUGUGAAGACUUACCACUACUGUUGGGCGAGGUCUAUGUGAUCUUAGCUCAAGGAGAAUAUGGGGAGACUAUGUGUCCGGGACUGUGUGUCCUCGAGUUUGAAUACUCAGCCGCUCCAAUCAGACGUACAACUGUCACAACAGUUGGAACUGGUCUACCAAAUCAUUGUAUUCACCAAGCCAACUGGUUCUAUUUCCUCAGCCCUUUCAUUUCCUCAGUUAUGUGUUGAUGAACCUGAUCAUUACUAAUUGAAGACUUUCAAUGAAGACUUUCUCUAAUUCCUCAAUCCUAUUUCUUCAGUCUGUUUUGUCUUUAUCCUGCUUAUCAUGUGUUUACGCUUUCUGUACUCUAUGUUUGUCUUUCAUUUCAUAAUUAUGACUAUGUUGUUGCUCUGUUAUGCUUAUACAUGAGUACUUAUUCCGCUGCAAGUAGUUCUUCUCUUAGGAAUUUCCUCACCCUGAAAUUCCUCAGUGAAGAAUUCAUAAAAAUCGCCUAUUCACCCCCCCUCUAGUCGACAUAACACACUUUCAGAACCUGUUGAGUACGCUAACGAGGAGCAAGCUUUCGACAACUCUGAGAACUUUGCAGGCAAGAUGACCAUUACCCUCGAUAUCACUUCUAUUUUUGCUUGCUAGUUGCUUCGUUCUAUCGCUAUGCUGUGCUACCUAUCACUUGUUUACCAUGCCUCCCGUAUUGCCAUGUCAAGCCUCCAACCCACCUUCCUAGAAAACCGUUGUUUGGCUAAGUUACCGCUUUUGCUCUGCCCCUCUUAUAGCAUUGUUAGUUGCAGGUGAAGUUGAAUAUUGCUCCAUGUUGGAACAUGUUUAUGUUGGGAUAUCACAAUAUCUCUUAUUUUAAUUAAUGCAUCUAUAUAUUUGGUAAAGGGUGGAAGGCUCGGCCUUAUGCCUGGUGUUUUGUUCCACUCUUCCCGCCUUAGUUUCCGUCAUACCGGUGUUAUGUUCCUUGAUUUUGCGUUCCUUAUACGGUCGGGUUUAUGGGAACCCCUUGAUAGUUUGCUUUGAAUAAAACUCCUCCAGCAAGGCCCAACCUUGGUUUUACAUUUGCCUAACAACCUAUAACUUUUUCCCUUGGGUUCGGCAGACUCAAGGGUCAUCUUUAUUUUACCCCCCCCGGCCAGUGCUUCUCUAAGUGUUGGUCCGAACUGGGCAGCCUGCGGGGCCACCUCAAGGAAACUUGAGGGCUGGUUUUACUUGUAGCUUGUCCCAUCCGGUGUGCCCUGAGAAUGAGAUAUGUGCAGCUCCUAUCGGAAUUUGUCGGCAUAGUCGAGUGGUCUUGCUGGUCUUGUUUUACCAUUGUCGAAAUGUCUUGUAACCGGGAUUCCGAGACUUAUCGGGUCUUUCUGGGAGAAGGAAUAUCCUUCGCUGAUCGUGAGAGCUUGUGAUGGGCUAAGUUGGGACACCCCUGGAGGGUAUAAACUUUCGAGAGCCAUGCCCACGGUUAUGUGGCAGAUGGGAAUUUGCUAAUAUCCGGUUAUAGUGUACUUGACACUUGACUUAAUUAAAAUGCGCCAACCGCGUGUGUAGCCGUGAUGGUCUCUUUUCGGCGGAGUCCGGGAAGUGAACAUGGUUUGGGUUAUGAUUGAACGUAAGUAGUUUCAAGAUCACUUCUUGAUCACCUCUAGCUUCAUGACUGUUGCGUAGCUUCUCAUCUUACUCUUAUUUGCGUAUGUUAGCCACCAUAUUUCUUAGCACUUGUUGCAACUCCACCUCAUUACCACAUCCUACCCAUAAGCUUAAAUAGUCUUGAUCUCGCGGGUUUUGAGAUUGAUGAGUCCUAGUGACUCACAGAUACUACCAAAACAGUUGUCGGUGCCGAUGAUACCAGUGCAUGUGAUGCUACCGAACACAAGUGGGAGUUCGACGAGGACCUUGGCCGUUACUACGUGUCUUUCCCUAAUGAUCAGUAGUGGAGCCCAGUUGGGAAGAUCGGGGAUCUAGCAUUUGGGGUUAUCUUCUUUUCAUUUGGAUUUGUCCAUAGUCGGACUAUGUGUGUACUCCGAAUGAUGUAUGAAUUAUAUGAUCUUUGUGUGAAAUGGCGAUUAUAAGCCAACUCUAUUUAUCCCUUUCUUGUUCAUUACAUGGGAUUGUGUGAAUAUGACCCUUCUUGCGACAAAACCACAAUGCGGUUAUGCCUCUAAGUCGUGCCUCGACACGUGGGAGAUAUAGCCGCAUCGUGGGUGUUACACUAUCAUUGCCAGUUUUAUUGAAAUAAAAGAUGACAAAAAUUAUUCUAAAUAACAUCAAGCAAAUCCUAACAAAAUAAAUUGACGCUCCAAGUAAAACUCAUAUCAUGUGACGAAUGAAAACAUAGCUCCAAGUGAGGUUACCGAUAAUGUUGGAGAUGAAAGAGGGGAUGCCUUCCGGGGCAUCCCAAGCUUAGUUGCUUGGAUCUUCCUUUAAUAUUACCUUGGGGGUGCCUUGAGCGCAAAAGUUUCUGUUUUUCAGCAAGAUCAGAUCAACUAUCACCCAACAUGAUCCCAAAGGCUGUACUUGGCACUUUAUUGAAACAAAAGCAAUAAAAUUGAUUACUACAGUAUCCUAAUCAUGUGAACACACAAAAACAGUAGGGGUAAAUGUUGGAUUGUCUCGCAACAAGUGCUUUUCUUUAAUGCCUUCUAGCUAGGCAUGAUGAUGCUCACAUAAAAGAUGAGAAUUGAAACAUAACAAGAGCAUCAUAAAUCAUAAGUUCCUCUCUCAUAAUAGUUUUCAGUAGCAUCAUGAAUAGAUUCAUCCAUAUAAACAUCACAUAAAGCAUUCUUUUCAUGAUCCAAAAGCAUAAAAAAAUUAUUACUCUUCAUGGGAUACAUGUCAUCAAAAUAAUCAUCAUAAGUAGCAACUUUGUUGUCAUCAUAGUCAAUUGAAACCUCUUCCAAAAUAGUGGAUGCAUCAAUAAAUAAAGUCAUGACCCCUCUGAAUCCACUUUCAUCAUAAAUAGGAGGCAUGCUAUCAUCAUAAUAAUUUAUCUCAUCAAAACUUGGGGGAGUAAAAAUAUCAUCUUCAUCAGACAUAGCAUCCCCAAGCUUGUAGCUUUGCAUAUCAUUAACAUCAUGGAUAUUGAAAGAAUUCAUACUAACAACAUUGCAAUCAUGCUCAUCAUUCAUGCCAAUAUUUUAUUAAAUUCUUCCUCUAUCAAUUGAGCACAAUUUUCCAAACCAUCAUUUUCAAGAAAGAUAUUAUAAAGAUGAUCAAUAAUAUGAUGCAACCUCAAUUCCAUUUUUAUGUGGUUUUCUUUUAUAAACCAAACUAGUGAUAAAACAAGAAACUAAAAGAUGUGCAAGAUCUAAAGAUAUACCUUCAUGCACUCACCUCCCUGGCAACGGCGCUAGAAAAGAGCUUGAUGUCUACUAUGCAAACUUUAUUCUUGUAGACAUGUGUUGGGCCUCCAAACGCAGAGUUUUGUAGGACAAUAGCAAUUUUCCCUCAAGUGGAUGACCUAAGGUUUAUCAAUCUAUGAGAGGUGUAGGAUGAAGAUGGUCUCUCUCAAACAGCCUGCAACCAAAUACAAGAAAUCUCUUGUGUCCCUAACACAGCCAAUACAAUGCCAAAUUGUAUAGGUGCACUAGUUCGGCGAAGAGAUGGUGAUAAAAGUGUAAAAUGGAUGGUAGAAAUAUAUUUUUAUAAUCUGAAUAAAUGAAAAUAGCAAGGUACCAAAAUAGUAAACGGACACAAAAACGGUAUUGCAAUGCUUUAAAAAUGAGGCCUAGGGUGCAUACUUUCACUAGUGCAAUCUCUCAACAAUGCUAACUGCUACCUCUUGAGCACUGCAUUGGUUUUCCCUUGAAGAGGAAAGGGUGAUGCAGCAAAGUAGCAUAAGUAUUUCCCUCAGUUUUUGAGAACCAAGGUAUCAAUCCAGUAGGAGGCUCCUCAAAAGUCCCUCGUACCUACACAAAGAAACAAGAACCUCACAACCAACACGAUAAAGGGGUUGUCAACCCCUUCAUGGUAACUUGCAAAAGUGAGAUCUGAUAGAGAUAAUAAGAUAAGAUAAAUAUUUUGGUAUUUUUAUGAUAUAUAUUGGAAAGUAAGGAUUACAAAAUAAAGAUAGAUUGGAAACUUAUAUGAUAAAACAUAGACCCGGGGGCCAUAGGUUUCACUAGUGGCUUCUCUCAAGAUAGCAUAAGUAUUACGGUGGGUGAACAAAUUACUGUCGAGCAAUUGAUAGAAAAGUGCAUAGUUAUGAGAUUAUCUAGGCAUGAUCAUGUAUAUAGGCAUCACGUCCGUGACAAGUAGGCCGACUCCUGCCUGCAUCUACUACUAUUACUCCACACAUCGACCGACUCCUGCCUACAUCUAGAGUAUUAAGUUCAUAAGAAUAGAGUAACGCAUUAAGAAAGAUGAUAUGAUGUAGAGGGAUAAACUCAAGCAAUAUGAUAUAAACCCCAUCUUUUUAUCCUCGAUGGCAACAAUACAAUACGUGCCUUGCGACCCCUGCUGUCACUGGGAAAGGACACUGCAAGAUUGAACCCAAAGCUAAGCACUUCUCCCAUUGCAAGAAAGAUCAAUCUAGUAGGCCAAACCAAACUGAAAAUUUGAAGAGACUUGCAAAGAUAACUCAAUCAUACAUAAAAGAAUUCAGAGGAGAUUCAAAUAUUUCUCAUAGAUAAACUUGAUCAUAAACCCACAAUUCAUUGGAUCUCGACAAACACACCGCAAAAAGAGUUACAUAGAUCUCCAAGAAGAUCGAGGAGAACUUUGUAUUGAUAUUCAAAGAGAGAGAAGAAGCCAUCUAGCUAAUAAUGAUGGACCCGAAGGUCUAUGGUAAACUACUCCCAACUCAUCGGAGAGGCCUUGGUGAUGAUGUAGAGGCCCUCCAUGGUCGAUUCCCCCUCCGUCGGAGCGCCGGCGAAGGCUCCAAGAUGGGAUCUCGCGGAUACAUAAGGUUGCGGCGGUGGAAAUAGUUUUUCGUGGUGCUCCUGGAUGUUCUUGGGGUACGUGGAUAUAUAUAGGAGGAAGAAGUAGGUCGGUUGAGCCACGAGGGGCCCACGAGGGUGGGGGCGCGCCCACCCCCCUAGGGCACACCGGGCACCCUCGUGGCCGCCUCGUUUGCUACUUGACGUCCAGUCCAAGUCUCCUGGAUUGCGUUUGUUCCAAAAAGAUUUCUCCUGAAGGUUUCAUUCCGUUUGGACUCCAUUUGAUAAUCCUUUUCUUCGAAACACUGAAAUAGGCAAAAAAAACAGCAAUUCGGGCUGGGCCUCCGGUUAGUAGGUUAGUCCCAAAAAUGAUAUAAAAGUGUAGAGUAAAGCCCAUAAACAUACAAAAUGGGUAAUAUAAUCGCAUGGAACAAUCAAAAAUUAUAGAUAUGUUGGAGACCUAUCAAGCAUCCCCAAGCUUAAUUCCUGCUCGUCCUCGAGUAGGUAAAUGAUAAAAAUAGAAUUUUUGAUGUGGAAUGCUACCUAGCAUAUUUCUCAAUGUAAUUUUCUUUAUUGUGGCAUGAAUGUUCAGAUCCAAAUGAUUCAAGACAAAAGUUCAUAUUGACAUAAGAACUAGUAAUACUUCAAGCAUACUAACAAGGCAAUCAUGUCUUCUCAAAAUAACAUGGCUAAAGAAAGUUCAUCCCUAGAAAAUCAUAUAGUUAGGCUAUGUUUCAUUUUCAUCACACAAAAGUACUCCCAUCAUGCACAACCCCGGUUUCAGCCAAGCAAUUGGUUCAUACUUUUUAAUGCGCUUCAGCUUUUUUCAACUCUCACGCAAUACAUGAGCGCGAGCCAUGGAUAUAGCACUAUGGGUGGAAUAGAAUAUGAUGGUGGAGGUUGUGUGGAGAAGACAGAAAAGGAGAAAGUCUCACAUUGACGAGGCUAAUCAACGGGCUAUGGAUAUGCCCAUCAAUUGAUGUCAACAUGAGGUGUAGGGAUUGCCAUGCAACGGAUGCACUAGAGCUAUAAAUGUAUGAAAGCUCAACAAAAGAAACUAAGUGGGUGUGCAUCCAACUUGCUUGCUCACGAAGACCUAGGGCAUUUUGAGGAAGCCCAUCAUUGGAAUAUACAAUCCAAGUUCUAUAAUGAAAAAUUCCCACUAGUAUAUGAAAGUGACAACAUAGGAGACUCUCUAUAUGAAGAACAUGGUGCUACUUUGAAGCACAAGUGUGGAAAAAGAUAGUAACAUUGGCCCCCUUUUUUAUUUUCUUUUCUUUUUAUUUUUUUGGGCCCUUUUUUUAUUUGGCCUUUCUUUUUUUUUCUUUGCCUUUUUUAUUUGGCCUUUCUUUUUUUCUUUGCCUUUUUUAUUUGGCCUUUCUUUUUUUUAUAGGGGACAAUGCUCUAAUAAUGAUGAUCAUCACACUUCUAUUUAUUUACAACUCAUGAAUUACAACUCGAUACUAGAACAAAAUAUGACUCUAUAUGAAUGCCUCCGGUGGUGUACCGGGAUAUGCAAUGAAUCAAGAGCGACAUGUAUGAAAAAUUAUGAAGGUGGUUUUGCCACAAAUACGAUGUCAACUACAUGAUCAUGCAAAAGCAAUAUAACA